CGAUCCUACGGUAGGCAGCAGUGGGGAAUAUUGGGCAAUGGGCGCAAGCCUGACCCAGCAACGCCGCGUGAAGGAAGAAGGCUUUCGGGUUGUAAACUUCUUUUGUCAGGGACGAAGCAAGUGACGGUACCUGACGAAUAAGCCACGGCUAACUACGUGCC
rnacentral:rRNA from 1 species